UUCUCGACUGUUUAUCAAAAACAUGUUUAAUAGAUUUUAUUAUUAAUAACACCUGCUCAAUGAAAUUUAAAUAGCCGCAGUUUAUACUGUGCUAAGGUAGCAUAAUCAUUUGUCUUCUAAUUUAAGACUAGAAUGAAAGGUGAAACAUUUUAUUUAAUCUACAAAUCAUUGAUUUUUUAAAUUUUUUUAAAUGUAAAAAAACAUUUAUAAUACAGAAAGACGACAAGACCCUAUCGAACUUAACUUUAGUUAAACUGGGGUAGUUAAUUAAUUAAUACUUUAAUUACAUGAUAUAUAUAUACAUAUAUAUACUUAUAUAAAUGAUCCGAUAUAAACGAUCAUAUAAUCAAGUUACCGUAGGGAUAACAGCGUAAUAAUAUUCUAUAGAUCUUAUAUAAAAUAAAGAUUACGACCUCGAUGUUGAAUUAGUUAAUCUAUUAUAUGUAAAUAUAUAAAAAGAAAGUCUGUUCGACUUUUAAAAAACUACAUGAUUUGAGUUCAGACCGGUGUAAACCAGGUCGG
rnacentral:rRNA from 1 species